AGAUUGAACGCUGGCGGCAGGCCUAACACAUGCAAGUCGAGCGGUAGAGAGGUGCUUGCAUCUCUUGAGAGCGGCGGACGGGUGAGUAAUGCCUAGGAAUCUGCCUAGUGGUGGGGGAUAACGUUCGGAAACGGACGCUAAUACCGCAUACGUCCUACGGGAGAAAGCGGGGGACCUUCGGGCCUCGCGCCAUUAGAUGAGCCUAGGUCGGAUUAGCUAGUUGGUGAGGUAAUGGCUCACCAAGGCGACGAUCCGUAACUGGUCUGAGAGGAUGAUCAGUCACACUGGAACUGAGACACGUCCAGACUCCUACGGGAGCAGCGAGUGGGGAAUA
rnacentral:rRNA from 1 species